UCAUACAGGAGAGAAGCCAUAUUAUUGUGACAUCUGUGAUAAAUCAUUCUCUCGAAAUGGUGAUUUAACUAAACACAAACGUAGUCAUACAGGAGAGAAGCCAUACCACUGUGAUAUCUGUGGUAACUCAUUCUCUGAUAGUAGUGGCUUAAAUAAACACAAACGUAUUCAUACAGGAGAGAAGCCUUAUCAGUGUGAUAUCUGUGGUAAAUCAUUCUCUCGAAAUAGUCAUUUAACUGGACACAAACUUAUUCAUACAGGAGAGAAAAAAAAAGGGUAGUUUGUGAGGGUUCCUUUGUAAACUACGUUUCCUUUAUGUAAUGAAAAUUAUGACUUUAAAAAUAAUGCUUUUUCAAGAAUUUCAGUUUUUAUCUUUCUUUCCAAAUUUUCUCCCUGUCCUUUCCCCUACUUUCAUGUUCCUUUUCUUUCCCAUGAUGUAGGGACCUCUGUUCUGGAACGCCUCUUCCUGCCAGCUUUACACAAGUUUCUUUCUUGAAUAUCACUUGCACAAUUCACUCUAUAAUUUUACUAAUUUUUAAUAUGAAACAGAAGAGACCACAAAGGGAAAACAUGGGGUGUAACUACAGUUUAGUGCUCCACUACAGACUAUUUUCUCAUAAAUUUCAAAAGAAUUAUGUUUUAUAUCAAACUCAGUAAAGGUCUAGAUUACAAUUAUCUUACUGAAAUUUGAAGAAAAAAUUUCUCAAGGAGAGUGUCAUCCUUGUCAACUCCACCCUGGUUUUCUCCGGGAUCAAAGUCCAAUUGAUUAGCUAAAGGGAUAGCCUAGAUGAGAUGCAGUUUGGUUUUGUGCCAGGGAGAAGCACUCUAGAUGCUCUUCUUAGUAAGGCAACUGCUGGAACAGAAUUUAGAGAAAAAUAAACCUUUGUAUUUGGCUUUUGCUGACAUGGACAAAUCUUUUGACAGGGAUCCUUGCUCCUUUAUCUGGUGGUCUAUGUGGUAGCUUGGGAUAGAUGAGUGGUUUUUGAACAGCAUACAAGCCCUGUAUAAGGUGGUAUCAAAAUGUUCCCAGACUAGUUAUAUUUAAUUACUAGUUAUGUCUUGACAUCAUCUCCAAAAUUUUUGCCCUGGGCCUUAGCCACAGCAAUAAAUUGUCCACUUAUUGGGGAUCCUUUCUUUAGGCUUUUUUUCCCAGCAGUUCGAUGUACUUAAUAAAAGCAAUUUGUUCCAAA